rnacentral:rRNA from 1 species
GACGAACGCUGGCGGCGUGCUUAACACAUGCAAGUCGAACGGAAAGGCCCUGCUUUUGUGGGGUGCUCGAGUGGCGAACGGGUGAGUAACACGUGAGUAACCUGCCCUUGACUUUGGGAUAACUUCAGGAAACUGGGGCUAAUACUGGAUAGGAGCUCCUGCUGCAUGGUGGGGGUUGGAAAGUUUCGGCGGUUGGGGAUGGACUCGCGGCUUAUCAGCUUGUUGGUGGGGUAGUGGCUUACCAAGGCUUUGACGGGUAGCCGGCCUGAGAGGGUGACCGGCCACAUUGGGACUGAGAUACGGCCCAGACUCCUACGGGAGGCAGCAGUGGGGAAUAUUGCACAAUGGGCGGAAGCCUGAUGCAGCAACGCCGCGUGCGGGAUGACGGCCUUCGGGUUGUAAACCGCUUUCGCCUGUGACGAAGCGUGAGUGACGGUAAUGGGUAAAGAAGCACCGGCUAGCUACGUG